rnacentral:rRNA from 1 species
UACGAAGGGUGCAAGCGUUACUCGGAAUUACUGGGCGUAAAGCGUGCGUAGGUGGUUUGUUAAGUCUGUUGUGAAAGCCCCGGGCUCAACCUGGGAAUGGCAAUGGAUACUGGCAAGCUAGAGUGCGGUAGAGGGUAGUGGAAUUCCCGGUGUAGCGGUGAAAUGCGUAGGAGAUCGGGAGGAACACCAGUGGCGAAGGCGGCUACCUGGACCAGCACUGACACUGAGGCACGAAAGCGUGGGGAGCAAACAGG